CACUGUACAGGAAGAAACCAGCACAACGCGCAAGACCGGAAGCGAGUUUCUUACCACACAGCCACGCCUGCACCUAUGUAUGUAUGUAUGUGUGUGUGUGUGUGUAUAUGUAUGUUUGCGUGCGUGUGCGUGUGACUUUGUUUUCGUCUUUGUCCUCGCACUGCUUGCCAACAGGUGAUGUUUUUUUUAUUUUAACGUCUUUCUAACUUUGCGGUUCGACAAUUGAAACCAAUAGAGAAAGUACUUGACAUUUUUUUUUUCUAAAUAAAUACUGGACUGGUUUGUUCGACUAAACCCUUGAAGGCGGUACUCCACUCCAGCAUGACCGCUGUCCCAUGAAUGGAACAAGUAAAACGCAAGAGUUAAAAGAUAAAAGAGAAAAGGUAUGAGAAAAAGUUGCAGCACUUGAAUGAUUCAGACAAAUCCAAAUUAAAAAAAGAAAAGAGAAACCGACUGAUUGGAAAAAAAAAGAAAAGAAAUAGAGGUAAUCAAAAUUACGCAGUCUAUCCCAGUAGUUGAGCAAACGAUAACAUCCGUUUGAUGUUUAUAUUUAGACGAGCACUUCCUCAAUCCUCACUACAGAAUCUCUUCUUCGUUGUUCAAGGCAAUAUCUUUCAGCUUGAUACUUCCUCGCAUUUUACAGCGGUUUUCGGGCUGCAGAUCAUACCUUUGUCCACACUGAAAAGACAGCAGCGUGAAUAGUGUCCGAGUAUUGUGCAGUAAAAGUAGACGUGCAAUAUAGAUUUAUUUUUGUC
rnacentral:lncRNA from 1 species